rnacentral:rRNA from 1 species
CAGUAGCGGCGAGUGAAGCGGCAAGAGCUCAGAUUUGAAAUCGUGUUUCGGCACGAGUUGUAGAGUGUAGGCGGGAGUCUCUGUGGAGCGCGGUGUCCAAGUCCCUUGGAACAGGGUGCCUGAGAGGGUGAGAGCCCCGUAGGGUGCUGCGCGAAGCUUUUGAGGCCCUGCUGACGAGUCGAGUUGUUUGGGAAUGCAGCUCCAAGCGGGUGGUAAAUUCCAUCUAAGGCUAAAUAUUGGCGAGAGACCGAUAGCGAACAAGUACUGUGAAGGAAAGAUGAAAAGCACUUUGAAAAGAGAGUGAAACAGCACGUGAAAUUGUUGAAAGGGAAGGGUAUUGGGCUCGACAUGGGGGGUGCGCACCGCUGUCUCUUGUAGGCGGCGCUCUGGGCGCCCUCUGGGCCAGCAUCGGUUCCUGCUGCGGGAGAAGGGGCUCCGGAAAGUGGCUCUUCGGAGUGUUAUAGCCGGGGCCAGAUGCCGCGUGUGGGGACCGAGGACUGCGGCUUCUGUCUCGGAUGCUGGCAUAACGGCGCAAUACCGCCCGUCUUGA